GAUGAACGCUGGCGGCGUGCCUAAUACAUGCAAGUCGAGCGAAUGGAUUAAGAGCUUGCUCUUAUGAAGUUAGCGGCGGACGGGUGAGUAACACGUGGGUAACCUGCCCAUAAGACUGGGAUAACUCCGGGAAACCGGGGCUAAUACCGGAUAACAUUUUGAACCGCAUGGUUCGAAAUUGAAAGGCGGCUUCGGCUGUCACUUAUGGAUGGACCCGCGUCGCAUUAGCUAGUUGGUGAGGUAACGGCUCACCAAGGCAACGAUGCGUAGCCGACCUGAGAGGGUGAGCGGCCACACUGGGACUGGGACACGGCCCAGACUCCUACGGGAGGCAGCAGUAGGGAAUCUUCCGAAAUGGACGAAAGUCUGACGGAGCAACGCCGCGUGAGUGAUGAAGGCUUUCGGGUCGUAAAACUCUGUUGUUAGGGAAGAACAAGUGCUAGUUGAAUAAGCUGGCACCUUGACGGUACCUAACCAGAAAGCCACGGCUAACUACGUGCCAGCCGCCGCAGUAA
rnacentral:rRNA from 1 species